AAACCAUACACAUUCAGUGCACUCCUUGACUUACAAUGGGUUUAUCAGAACUUGGUCCCAUUGUAAAGCGAGGAAUAUAUAUGUGUUAAAUAUUGCAGGGAAAAGGUCAACAGAUUACAUAUCUAUAUGCCAUAAUGCUCAGGCUGGAGAGACCUACGAAUGUAUUGAAAGGGCUUUCACCUAUAAAUUGGUCUGAUUGCAUAUCAGAGCAUUCACUCUGGCCAGAAGUCACAAUUCAGUGUACACCGUAAUGUCAUACUGAAGGCAAAAAGCUGUCAACCACAAAUUAAACUUGCUUAUUGAAUGGUAGCCAGCCUUCAUGAUGGCCCCCAAUGAUCCUAGCUCCUGGUUAACUUAUUGCAUAGUCCCCUAACUUCAGUGUACCAAAAUUGGUCUGUGUGACCUCAAGCAUUUUUUGUGAAUACUCAAAUGGAAUUUAAAAGAAGCCAAAUUGGUUUACACAUUUUUUCUUAAACCACAGCUUCCAGAUAUUUACAGCUGUCUCAGACCACCUUUACUUGGAGAAAGCCAAAUUCCUAUAUAGUUAGAAUACAAGUGACUUACAGCAACAAGAAGGGAUUUCCACUUAUAGUAAUAUAAGAUGAUUUGGACCAACCCUCUAACUGAGGGCAUUGAGACAAAAUGGAGAAAAUUAUUUCAAAAAAAAUCAAUUUGAAGGCCAUUAGCCAGUAAGCACAAAAUUACAACCAAAAGUUGGAAGAGAAAAUAACAUCCAAAUAGGUGAGCCUGUUUUGGGGGCCACUUUCUCGAGUUUUUUUGGCGAAUUCUGGAGGAGGUAGCCAAGAGGCUGACAAUACAUCUGAUGCACAUCCUACAGGCAUAGCUGAAUAGGAAUUGGAGUUAAAGGCCUUUUAAAGCUUUAAAGUACUUCUGUACUUUUGCAAACGAUGUUUACCACAAAAUAACAAGGCAUGUGUGGAGACAAGACAACAUGAAUCAAAUACAACACAGAUUUUAAAAUAUGCUUGUUCAAUCGAAGGAGAUAAAAGUCAAGAUGAAGAAUUUAGCAGAUAUCUGGAAAAUACAGAAAAGUUUCCAAUGUUAUAGAGCCAAACAUAAUAUUAGCUGAAAUCAAGAACUCAUUGUUCUUGUGGCAGGUUACUCACAGCUGAAGAUAGAAUUCGUGAACUGAAAGACUGAUGAGAAGAAAAUAGAAUAAAACAGGAACAGAAAAUACAGAAGAUAAAUGUUUAUCAAAUUUAAUACCCCAGGAAAACAGCAGAGAGAGACAAAAGCAAUAUAUUAAUAGAUAAUUACUGAGAUCUUUCCACAGCUGUCAAGAUAAGCAACUGAUCUGGGGAGGCUUCUGAAUCAAUCCCAAGCAAGAAAGAAAAAUUCAUACCUAAGCAUAUUAUAAUAAAACUGAAAACCAGAGAGAAAAAAAUCUUAAAAGCAACCAGUGAGAAAAAAAUUACCUUCAAAAUUGUACCACUUCACUAAAAGCUACUUAAUCAAAACAGAAACCAAAUCAUAAUGAAGUGGUGUCUUUACCUAGAAUUUAAUGUCUAACAAAAAUAACCUUUAAAAAUGUAAAAGUUGUUUUCAAGAAAAGUAGAAAAUUCUCCUACAAUGAAAUACUGAGUUAUACUUUUAUAAAUCUGAGGGUUUAUUGGGAAUAAUACUGAAAAGAGAUUUUCAGGCAAGAGAACUAUCCCCAGGUGGAAUGUUGAUAUGUAAGAAUGAAUAAAAAGCAACAGAAAUGGCCAAUAUGUGGUUAAAUCUAAGUGCUAAUAUGAAAA
ensembl:lncRNA